rnacentral:SRP_RNA from 1 species
GGCCACUCCUUCGUGGUGGCUUUGACCAGCAGUGGGCAGGUC